rnacentral:rRNA from 1 species
GGACUACACGGGUUUCUAAUCCCGUUUGCUCCCCUGGCUUUCGUGUCUCAGCGUCAGCACACCCCCAGCAAGUUGUUUUCACCAUUGGCGUUCCAAACGAUAUCUACGCAUUUCACCGCUCCACCGUUUGUUCCACUUGCCCCUAGGUGGCUCAAGAUCCGCAGUAUACCGAGCAGUUCCAUGGUUGAGCCAUGGGAUUUCACAAGGUACUUACAGACCCGCCUACACACGCUUUAAGCCCAGUGAUUCCGCCUAACGCUCGGCACCUCUGUCUUACCGCGGCUGCUGGCAC